rnacentral:ncRNA from 1 species
CCUCGGGGACGACCUCGAGGACGACCUCGAGGACGACCUCGAGGACGACCUCG